rnacentral:rRNA from 1 species
CCUAGGGGGUGCAGCAGUGGGGAAUAUUGGACAAUGGGCGAAAGCCUGAUCCAGCCAUGCCGCGUGUGUGAAGAAGGCCUUCGGGUUGUAAAGCACUUUCAGUGGGGAAGAAAGCCUUGGGGCUAAUACCCUCGAGGAAGGACAUCACCCACAGAAGAAGCACCGGCUAACUCCGUGCCAGCAGCCGCGGUAAUACGGAGGGUGCGAGCGUUAAUCGGAAUUACUGGGCGUAAAGCGCGCGUAGGCGGUCUGAUAAGCCGGUUGUGAAAGCCCCGGGCUCAACCUGGGAACGGCAUCCGGAACUGUCAGGCUAGAGUGCAGGAGAGGAAGGUAGAAUUCCCGGUGUAGCGGUGAAAUGCGUAGAGAUCGGGAGGAAUACCAGUGGCGAAGGCGGCCUUCUGGACUGACACUGACGCUGAGGUGCGAAAGCGUGGGUAGCAAACAGGAUUAGAUACCCUGGUAGUC